rnacentral:rRNA from 1 species
UGGAUUAGUGGCGAACGGGUGAGUAACACGUGGGCAAUCUGCCCUGCACUCUGGGACAAGCCCUGGAAACGGGGUCUAAUACCGGAUACUGAUCGCCUUGGGCAUCCUUGGUGAUCGAAAGCUCCGGCGGUGCAGGAUGAGCCCGCGGCCUAUCAGCUUGUUGGUGAGGUAAUGGCUCACCAAGGCGACGACGGGUAGCCGGCCUGAGAGGGCGACCGGCCACACUGGGACUGAGACACGGCCCAGACUCCUACGGGAGGCAGCAGUGGGGAAUAUUGCACAAUGGGCGAAAGCCUGAUGCAGCGACGCCGCGUGAGGGAUGACGGCCUUCGGGUUGUAAACCUCUUUCAGCAGGGAAGAAGCGAAAGUGACGGUACCUGCAGAAGAAGCGCCGGCUAACUACGUGCCAGCAGCCGCGGUAAUACGUAGGGCGCGAGCGUUGUCCGGAAUUAUUGGGCGUAAAGAGCUCGUAGGCGGCUUGUCGCGUCGGUUGUGAAAGCCCGGGGCUUAACCCCGGGUCUGCAGUCGAUACGGGCAGGCUAGAGUUCGGUAGGGGAGAUCGGAAUUCCUGGUGUAGCGGUGAAAUGCGCAGAUAUCAGGAGGAACACCGGUGGCGAAGGCGGAUCUCUGGGCCGAUACUGACGCUGAGGAGCGAAAGCGUGGGGAGCGAACAGGAUUAGAUACCCUGGUAGUCCACGCCGUAAACGGUGGGCACUAGGUGUGGGCGACAUUCCACGUCGUCCGUGCCGCAGCUAACGCAUUAAGUGCCCCGCCUGGGAGUACGGCCGCAAGGCUAAAACUCAAAGGAAUUGACGGG